UUUGACAGUAAAAUAUAGAGUGUCGUUUAGCAACUUUUUUUAUCAUCACAACAAAAUAAUUUAUAAGUAAAUGAAGACUUUGGUAAACAAAUUUUUUGUAUUCUAAUAGAAAAAUUACAAUAAGAUACCAUGUAUAGGCCUUGAACCCAAUUUGGCACAUGUUUUUGAUAAUACAUAAUCUAGCUCAAAAUUCCAAAAAAAAAAAAACUCUCUCAAACUUCGUUUAAUGACGUGGAUGUACAUGUGGCAAUAAAUAGUUGAUGUGGCAUUUAAAAAUUAUAUAAACAUAAAUAAAAAUAAAAAAAUUACAAAAAUCCCUUAUUCCGCUCCGAUUUUGAGGCCUCCUCGACGUAGAUCUUCGCCUCCACCAACUCUCUGUAACGUACUGGAUUUUACGUAACAUGAUGCGGUUUCGGUGGUGUGGUAUUUUAAAUACUGAACUCUCUUUAACGUUGGGCUUUCAAUUGGGUUAAUUAUUAGUGUGGUGUGGUAUUUAAACUAAGUUCAAUUGGAAUUUGAAGGCAGAUUUGAAGCAUAAACCAAAUCCUCUCAAAACUCUUCCUCUUCUGCUCUCUACUUCCUCUACUUCACCUUCUUACUGUUACUCUUCUUCUUCUUCUUCUUCUUCUUCUUCUUUCUAAUUCUUCAACUUCCUUCCCACACUCCAUCACUCCAUGUACAAAACUUUACAUAUAGCUACGGCAACUCAACCUCCAGAGCCCGGAGAAGUACCCUGGGUCAUAAGCUUUGGCGACGACCUGAACCCGUAGUUACGCGCUCAAAUCCCAGAACCAGACACCAAGCUCCGAUCACACCAACUCCGUCCAGAUCCAGAUCCAAACCGCUUCAAAAUAGAAGCUGGAGUAGACUGAAUCCCGAAGCUGGUACUACUACUUACUACUACUACUACUAGCUACUGCUCCUGCUGCGAGCGAAACAGUUCAGUUUCAUGAUCAUCAGCUUUAUUUUUUGUGGACGGCAAGACAAGAGGGGCAAAACGAAGAUCAAGAGGAGAAAAGGACAGAAGACGAAGAAGACGAAGCAGCGGUUUUUUUGUUACUUUUUAAAAUAAUUUCUAUUUUUUUUAAUGUAAAUUAAAAUAUUAAUAUAUUUUAUGACGUGGAGCUUAUGAAUGACACAUAGACUGUCAUAUCAAAGGAGUUAAGUUUGACUGUUAAUUUAACGGUUAGAUUUGAAAAUCAUGCUAUUUUUUGUAUUUUGAAAAUUAUGUGUCAAAUUGAAUUCGAGGCUAUACGUUGUAUCUUAUUUGAUAAUUUUUUUUUAUAAAACAUACAUAUAGGAUAAGAUUCUUUAUCCACAAGAUCAAUGAUUCUCAACCCUAAUCAGG
rnacentral:lncRNA from 1 species